rnacentral:rRNA from 1 species
UACAGAGGUCUCAAGCGUUGUUCGGAUUCAUUGGGCGUAAAGGGUGCGUAGGCGGCCGGUUGCGUCUGCUGUGAAAUCCCGGGGCUUAACCCCGGGCGUGCAGUGGAUACGGGCCGGCUGGAGGCAGGCAGGGGAGAAUGGAAUUCCCGGUGUAGCGGUGAAAUGCGCAGAUAUCGGGAGGAACACCGGUGGCGAAGGCGGUUCUCUGGGCCUGUACUGAC